rnacentral:tRNA from 1 species
AGAAACUUAAGUUAUACCAAACUAGGAGCCUUCAAAGCACCAAAAAAAGAAACACUUUAGUUUCUG